AUCGGAGCAGAACUAACAGGAUUCCCCUAGUAACUGCGAGUGAAGCGGGAAAAGCUCAAAUUUAAAAUCUGGCGGUCUCUGGCCGUCCGAGUUGUAAUCUAGAGAAGUGAUGCCCGCGCUGGACCGUGUACAAGUCUCCUGGAAUGGAGCGUCAUAGAGGGUGAGAAUCCCGUCUCUGACACGGACUACCAGGGCUUUGUGGUAUCCUCUCAAAGAGUCGAGUUGUUUGGGAAUGCAGCUCUAAAUGGGUGGUAAAUUCCAUCUAAAGCUAAAUAUUGGCGAGAGACCGAUAGCGAACAAGUACCGUGAGGGAAAGAUGAAAAGAACUUUGGAAAGAGAGUUAAACAGUACGUGAAAUUGCUGAAAGGGAAACGCUUGAAGUCAGUCGCGUUGGCCAGGAAUCAGCCUCGCUCUUGCGUGGUGUACUUUUUGGUUGACGGGUCAGCAUCAAUUUUGACUGCUGGAAAAAGGCUUAGGGAAUGUGGCAGCUUCGGCUGUGUUAUAGCCCUUUGUCACAUACAGCGGUUGGGAUUGAGGAACUCAGCACGCCGCAAGGCCGGGUUUCGACCACGUUCGUGCUUAGGAUGCUGGCAUAAUGGCUUUAAGCGACCCGUCUUGAAACACGGACCAAGGAGUCUAACAUGCCUGCGAGUGUUUGGGUGGUAAACCCGAGCGCGUAAUGAAAGUGAAAGUUGAGAUCCCUGUCGUGGGGAGCAUCGACGCCCGGACCAGAGCUUUUGUGACGGAUCCGCGGUAGAGCAUGUAUGUUGGGACCCGAAAGAUGGUGAACUAUGCCUGAAUAGGGUGAAGCCAGAGGAAACUCUGGUGGAGGCUCGUAGCGAUUCUGACGUGCAAAUCGAUCGUCAAAUUUGGGUAUAGGGGCGAAAGACUAAUCGAACCAUCUAGUAGCUGGUUCCUGCCGAUUUU
rnacentral:rRNA from 1 species